GCGUCGGUAGUGCAACGAAUAGCAUACGCUCCCGGAAAGAGUGAGAUCUGGGUUCGAGUCCCAGCUGACGCA